AAGUCGGACGGGCGUGGGGGCUUCGGCCUUUGCGUCAGUGGCGGACGGGUGAGUAACGCGUAGGGAUCUGUCUUUGGGUGGGGGAUAACCGUGGGAAACUACGGCUAAGACCGCAUGAAGCCUGAGGGCCAAAGCCUCUCGUGAGGGGGGUGCCUGGAGAGGAGCCUGCGUCCGAUUAGCUGGUUGGUGGGGUAACGGCCUACCAAGGCGAUGAUCGGUAGCUGGUCUGAGAGGAUGGCCAGCCACACUGGGACUGAGACACGGCCCAGACUCCUACGGGAGGCAGCAGUGGGGAAUAUUGGGCAAUGGGCGCAAGCCUGACCCAGCAAUGCCGCGUGGGUGAAGAAGGUCUUCGGAUUGUAAAGCCCUUUCGGCGGGGACGAU
rnacentral:rRNA from 1 species